UACGUAGGUGACGAGCGUUGUCCGGAUUUACUGGGCGUAAAGAGCGCGCAGGCGGUCGUUCAAGUCGAGUGUGAAAGCCCCCGGCUCAACUGGGGAGGGUCACUCGAUACUGAUCGACUCGAAGGCAGGAGAGGGAAGUGGAAUUCCCGGUGUAGUGGUGAAAUGCGUAGAUAUCGGGAGGAACACCAGUGGCGAAGGCGACUUCCUGGCCUGUUCUUGACGCUGAGGCGCGAAAGCUAGGGGAGCAAACGGG
rnacentral:rRNA from 1 species